UCCACCAGCCGAGCUGCAGUUUGACAUCAGCCGGCCGGCGAGGGCGCGCCUGGAGUCGGAGCACGUGCCAGGAUGUUUUAUUGCCGCCGCGGCUGCGGCCGGACCCAGAGGAUGUGUGUGUGCGUGCGUGUGUGAGUGUGUGUGUGCGCGCGCCCCGGGGGCAGGGAGGCGGGGGCCGGCGGCGGGCGGCCGGGAGCGGGGGCCGGCUCUAGUCCCCGGGAGAAGCCAAGAAGCCUGCCAGAGACUGGGCUGCUGCCUUGCCAAGAGCUAUCCUGGUAGGGUUAUUGAAAGAGCUUUGAGUGAGUACACAUGGGGCGGAUUUCUCUCCUCCCCUCGUACCUGCCCUGCACCUGUACGGGGAGCAACCCCACACAUAUCACCUGAUCACAGCCCUUUCAGACUCCGUGAGAAAAAUGAAGCCCCAGAGAGCAGAGGCAUGUUUGCCUUCCCUCCAGGGCAGCAGCCAGCUCCUUGCAGCUGGGAGUGUCCAGAGACACUGUCGACAUUCCAGGCAUCCUGUGCCUGCAUGUUUUCUCCUGCUGACACCACACCGGGACAAGAAGGAAGCUGGAGAUCACUUUCCCUGUGGCCACUCUCCUGCUCUGGCCGUGGGCGUUUGGCAGGCAGGUGACUUCAGGUUCCUUUCCUGGAAUCAUCAUCAUCAUCGUCUUCUCAGAUAAGAGUCUUUGACUUCAUCACAGAAUUCCCCAAGCAGAACUUCUCAUAACCUGGACAAUCACCGGGGAAAAAAAAGACUUCGAAUUUGUUCUUCUAUGUGCCCUUUAUGUCUAGCAGGUGUCUAAGAAAUAGUUCCCAAAUAAACAGAUGCAUCACUUUCUCACCCAA